rnacentral:rRNA from 1 species
AGUCGCUAGUAAUCGCGGAUCAGCAACGCCGCGGUGAAUGCGUUCCCGGGCCUUGUACACACCGCCCGUCAAGUCAUGAAAGUGGGCAGCACCCGAAGACGGUGGCCUAACCCUUGUGGGGGGAGCCGUCUAAGGUGAGGCUCGUGAUUGGGACUAAGUCGUAACAAGGUAUC